rnacentral:rRNA from 1 species
GACGAACGCUGGCGGCGUGCUUAACACAUGCAAGUCGAACGGAAAGGCCCUGCUUUUGUGGGGUGCUCGAGUGGCGAACGGGUGAGUAACACGUGAGUAACCUGCCCUUGACUGUGGGAUAACUUCAGGAAACUGGGGCGAAUACCGGAUAGGAGCUCCUGCUGCAUGGUGGGGGUUGGAAAGUUUCGGCGGUUGGGGAUGGACUCGCGGCUUAUCAGCUUGUUGGUGGGGUAGUGGCUUACCAAGGCUUUGACGGGUAGCCGGCCUGAGAGGGUGACCGGCCACAUUGGGACUGAGAUACGGCCCAGACUCCUACGGGAGGCAGCAGUGGGGAAUAUUGCACAAUGGGCGGAAGCCUGAUGCAGCAACGCCGCGUGCGGGAUGACGGCCUUCGGGUUGUAAACCGCUUUCGCCUGUGACGAAGCGUGAGUGACGGUAAUGGGUAAAGAAGCACCGGCUAACUACGUG